AGGCCUGGUGCUUAUUGACUAAUGGAAUUAUCAUUCAUAAUAUGAUAAUUUGGUUUGAGUCUUUCUGAUGGUGAUCAGGUUGGCCGGCCAAAGUCGGGCCUAAUCAUUUAUUGGUCCGAUUCACCAAAUCAAAUCAUGUUAAUGGUUGGACCUAACCAGAUCUUUUCGGUAGAGGCCAAAGCCUACUGAUUAGGUUCUGGGGCAAAAUCAAUUACUAGAAGU
rnacentral:lncRNA from 1 species